UACGAAGGGGGCUAGCGUUGCUCGGAAUCACUGGGCGUAAAGGGUGCGUAGGCGGGUCUUUAAGUCAGGGGUGAAAUCCUGGAGCUCAACUCCAGAACUGCCUUUGAUACUGAAGAUCUUGAGUUCGGGAGAGGUGAGUGGAACUGCGAGUGUAGAGGUGAAAUUCGUAGAUAUUCGCAAGAACACCAGUGGCGAAGGCGGCUCACUGGCCCGAUACUGACGCUGAGGCACGAAAGCGUGGGGAGCAAAACGG
rnacentral:rRNA from 1 species